rnacentral:rRNA from 1 species
GGGUGAGGCCUGAUGCCGAGCCGUUGUGGUGAAGUGGAUGAUCCUAUGCUGUCGAGAAAAGCCUCUGGCGAUGUUCCGUGGCGGCCCGUACCCUAAACCGACUCAGGUGGUCAGGUAGAGUAUACCGAGGCGUUCGGGUGAACUAUGGUUAAGGAACUCGGCAAAAUGCCCCCGUAACUUCGGGAGAAGGGGGGCCGCUUCCGGUGAAGGCGCUUUGCUGCUGGAGCUGGGGGUGGUCGCAGAGAGCAGCGAGAAGCGACUGUUUACUAAAAACACAGGUCCGUGCGAAGCCGUAAGGCGAGGUAUACGGACUGACGCCUGCCCGGUGCUGGAACGUUAAGGGGACCGGUCAGCCGCCUUUCGGGGUGGCGAAGCUGAGAACUUAAGCGCCAGUAAACGGCGGUGGUAACUAUAACCAUCCUAAGGUAGCGAAAUUCCUUGUCGGGUAAGUUCCGACCUGCACGAAUGGCGUAACGACUUCUCGACUGUCUCAACCAUAGGCCCGGUGAAAUUGCAGUACGAGUAAAGAUGCUCGUUUCGCGCAGCAGGACGGAAAGACCCCGGGACCUUUACUACAGCUUGAUAUUGGUGUUCGGUUCGGCUUGUGUAGGAUAGGUGGGAGACUGUGAAGCCGCCACGCCAGUGGGGGUGGAGUCGUUGUUGAAAUACCACUCUGGUCGUUUCGGAUGUCUAACCCGGGUCCGUGAUCCGGAUCGGGGACAGUGUCUGGUGGGUAGUUUAACUGGGGCGGUUGCCUCCUAAAGGGUAACGGAGGCGCCCAAAGGUUCCCUCAGCCUGGUUGGUCAUCAGGUGGUGAGUGUAAGUGCACAAGGGAGCUUGACUGUGAGACUGACGGGUCGAGCAGGUGCGAAAGCAGGGACUAGUGAUCCGGCGGUGGCUUGUGGAAGCGCCGUCGCUCAACGGAUAAAAGGUACCCCGGGGAUAACAGGCUGAUCUUCCCCAAGAGUCCGUAUCGACGGGAUGGUUUGGCACCUCGAUGUCGGCUCGUCGCAUCCUGGGGCUGGAGUCGGUCCCAAGGGUUGGGCUGUUCGCCCAUUAAAGCGGUACGCGAGCUGGGUUUAGAACGUCGUGAGACAGUUCGGUCCCUAUCCGCUGCGCGCGUUGGAGUCUUGAGAAGGGCUGUCCCUAGUACGAGAGGACCGGGACGGACGGACCUCUGGUGUGCCAGUUGUUCUGCCAAGGGCAUGGCUGGUUGGCUACGUUCGGGAUGGAUAACCGCUGAAGGCAUCUAAGCGGGAAGCCGGCUUUGAGAUGAGGACUCCUGCCCACGUUGAUGGGGUAAGGCUCCCUGGAGAUGACGGGGUUGAUAGGCCGGGGAUGGAAGCCUUGUGAGGGGUGGAGUCGACCGGUACUAAUAGGCCGAGGGCUUGUC